AGCGAACGUUAGCGGCGCGCUUAACACAUGCAAGUCGAACGAGAAAGUUCCCUUCGGGGGACAAGUAAAGUGGCGCACGGGUGCGUAACACGUAGGCAAUCUUCCCUGAGAUGGGGGAUAACCCUCCGAAAGGAGAGCUAAUACCGCGUAAGACCACAGUGACUCCGGUCACAGGGGUCAAAGCUAGCCUCUACUUGUAAGCUAGUGUCUCGGGAUGAGCCUGCGGCCCAUCAGUUAGUUGGUAGGGUAACGGCCUACCAAGGCGAAGACGGGUAGCUGGUCUGAGAGGAUGGACAGCCACACUGGCACUGAAACACGGGCCAGACUCCUACGGGAGGCAGCAGUGGGGAAUCUUGGUCAAUGGGCGCAAAGCCUGAACCAGCGACGCCGCGUGAGUGAUGAA
rnacentral:rRNA from 1 species